rnacentral:rRNA from 1 species
UACGUAGGGUGCGAGCGUUGUCCGGAAUUAUUGGGCGUAAAGAGCUCGUAGGCGGCCUGUCGCGUCGGAUGUGAAAACUCGGGGCUUAACCCCGAGCCUGCAUUCGAUACGGGCAGGCUAGAGUUCGGCAGGGGAGACUGGAAUUCCUGGUGUAGCGGUGAAAUGCGCAGAUAUCAGGAGGAACACCGGUGGCGAAGGCGGGUCUCUGGACAGUUCCUGACACUGAGGCGCGAAAGCGUGGGGAGCAAACAGG